UUCUCAAGCCUGCAAAGACUCGAGCCCAGAUCACCAUGCUCGGCCCAACCGGCGAGCCCACCGGCGAGGAGACCGCCGCUGUCGGCGAGUACCAAAGAUCCUCAAGCUGGCUGGCCGGCCGGCCGGUCGGUCUCCGGGACGGGUGACGAACAGGAGCAUGGAGGCGCACUCGCUGCUGAGGCGUGCGGGGCUGGACUGGACGUCGCCUCCUACGGCACCGGCGCGCACGUCAAGCUCCCGGGCUCUUCCCUCCACGAGCCCAACGUCUACGGCUUCGGCACGCCGUACAAAGUCAUCCACGACGACCUCCAACGCAAGGGCCCCGACCUGUUACUGUCUUCUGAUUCUGACCGGCACCUUUGAUACCCGUGUUGGAUGCUUAAACGGUACAAGAGGAACGGGUUGCUGCUAAUGCUGAAGAGAAACCGCACCAUAAAAGCUGCACCGCUGAAAACUGCACCGCUGCUUUCGCAGGGAAUUCCUGUGAUGGACCAUUCGAUGCGGUGCUUACUUUCGAGGAGAAAGUAUUAGACUCAGUCCUCGAAGAUCUGAAUUACCGUGAACAAAAGGUUGUUGAACAGUGUCCUAAUAAUCAAUAUGGAUGUCAAAGAUAACCAUGAAGAAGCUGGUGUGGGGGCAAAGCUUGCUUUAGAUUUGUGCCAGAGGGUAUGCAAGUACUGCAGCAUGUAUAUAGUUGUGAUCUGGAUCAAAAUAUCGUGCUUUCGAAUUGCACUGUUGUUUCUGCUUCAGCAAUUUGCUUGUCUUGAUCAUUGCACAUUAUCAUGACCACAUUGCACUGAACUCACUAAGAUCUAAGGGGCUUGAUAGAUACUCUUUUCAAUUCAUUUAUGUUAUUUUUUAAUAAUCAUAACUAUAUAUGCCUUCGUCUUGCCCUCAUCCCUAGGUAGUAGACAGUACCUUUUUAAGUGCAUUAUUAAAUCACUAGAGUUAUCAGCAAUUUGGCCCGGUUUCCUUGAAGUUCUCAAGGAUUACGUCAUGCCUUAGCUUUUAUUUUUUUAAUCAGCGUGACAGAAUUCCUUCUAGACAUCUCUGUACAGUAAUACCAACUAGGGAAAAACAAAAUGUCUUCAUAAUGCAUUCUCUGCAGUCAGGAGAUGUUUACUGUCAAUUCCAAGAUACUUCCCAUUGAAGAUAAAUAAUCUGAGCUUGAAGCAGUGGAUGGUUGGGAAGACACCAUAGAUGAUAUAAUUACUGCAUUUGAGAAGCAAUACAAGCGAAAAAUCAUGUACAUUAUAUCAUUUUACUGAAGUCAUGCAGGAUUUGCCAACCAAGCUGAGGCAAUCUGACAUUCAAGCUUCGCACUUCUAGUUCUGACAGAACGAUGGAAAAAAAAAUGAAACAUGCAUAAUUCCAAUGUCACAGUGAAGAAUAGGACAAUCAUUAGUGGUAAAAAGAAAUCCCAGCCAGCAACGUUGCAUCAGCUUCGCCGGAAACCAACGGUUCUAAGACAUGGAUAUCCUUGAUGGAAAGAAAAUGCUUCAUCGUUGUAAUUUAGUUCCGUUAAUCUAAAAGAUGUACCUAGUUGAAAGAUUGUCUUUAGGUUAUCUGGCUUCUUUUUAAAGAAAUAUGCGCAACCCACGUUCUAGCAAAAAAAAGUACCAUAUAUUUGUAAGUGCAGGCCAUCUUGUUGAUAUCAAGCUGUAAUUUUGUUCUUUGAUCUAGGCAGCAUACCUAUCCUAAAAUCCGUCACCUGCUGCUUGAUUAAUUUUGGAUUGAUUGGUCAGUGAGGACGGCGUGGGAUCGAGGGAGGAGUGCUGAGAGGAGGUGCGUACCCG